rnacentral:rRNA from 1 species
UACAGAGGUCUCAAGCGUUGUUCGGAUUCAUUGGGCGUAAAGGGUGCGUAGGUGGCGCCGUAAGUCGGGUGUGAAAUUUCGGAGCUUAACUCCGAAACUGCAUUUGAUACUGGCGUGCUUGAGGACUGGAGAGGAGACUGGAAUUUACGGUGUAGCGGUGAAAUGCGUAGAUAUCGUAAGGAAGACCAGUGGCGAAGGCGGGUCUCUGGACAGUUCCUGACGCUGAGGCACGAAGGCCAGGGGAGCAAACGGG